rnacentral:rRNA from 1 species
UAGGGAAUAUUGGUUAAUGGGCGAAAGCCUGACCCAGCAACGCCGCGUGAGUGAUGAAGGCCUUCGGGUUGUAAAACUCUUUUUAUGGGGAUGAGGAAGGACAGUACCCAUAGAAUAAGUCUCGGCUAACUACGUGCCAGCAGCCGCGGUAACACGUAGGAGACGAGCGUUAUCCGGAUUUACUGGGUGUAAAGCGCGUGCAGGCGGUCCGAUAAGUUGGAUGUGAAAGCUCCUGGCUUAACUGGGAGAGGUCGUUCAAUACUGUUGGACUAGAGGAUGUCAGAGGGGAGUGGAAUUCCGAGUGUAGCGGUAAAAUGCAUAGAUAUUCGGAAGAACACCAGUGGCGAAGGCGGCUCUCUGGGGCAUAUCUGACGCUCAGACGCGAAAGCUAGGGUAGCAAACGGG